rnacentral:lncRNA from 1 species
CGGGCAGUUCGGCUUUUCGGCGUUGUGGUACCUGCAUGCUCUUAUUUACGCAACGAAGUGUGUUAAUUGGCGACGACACUGACUGAACACACUAGUUUGCUGACUAGUGCGGGCUGAAGCAUGCCUGGCAUUCAACGUAAAUAGCUCUUCAGAGAUAUUAAGGUUUAAAAAGGAAAAUUUAUGGCAUUGACAGCACAAUAACAAGUGUCAAUUACAGCGUAAACUUUUGGUGA